rnacentral:tRNA from 1 species
UGGCUCAGAUGGUAAAGCAUCUGCCUGCAAUGCGGGAGACCCAGGUUCAAUUCCUGG